rnacentral:rRNA from 1 species
UACAGAGGGGGCAAGCGUUAUUCGGAAUUAUUGGGCGUAAAGGGCGCGUAGGCGGUCGGACAAGUGGAAGGUGAAAGCCCCGGGCUUAACCUGGGAAUUGCAUUCGAGACUGCAUUGCUGGAGUACGGAAGAGGAAGGCGGAAUUCCCGGUGUAGCGGUGAAAUGCGUAGAUAUCGGGAGGAACAUCAGUGGCGAAGGCGGCCUUCUGGUCCAGUACUGACACUCAAGUGCGAAAGCGUGGGGAGCAAACAGG